GAUGAACGCUGGCGGCGUGCCUAAUACAUGCAAGUCGAGCGAACGGACGAGAAGCUUGCUUCUCUGAUGUUAGCGGCGGACGGGUGAGUAACACGUGGAUAACCUACCUAUAAGACUGGGAUAACUUCGGGAAACCGGAGCUAAUACCGGAUGAUAUUUUGAACCGCAUGGUUCAAAAGUGAAAGACGGUCUUGCUGUCACUUAUAGAUGGAUCCGCGCUGCAUUAGCUAGUUGGUAAGGUAACGGCUUACCAAGGCAACGAUGCAUAGCCGACCUGAGAGGGUGAUGGCCCACACGAGAAGUGAGCCACGGUCCAGACUCCUACGGGAGGAACAAGGAGGGAUUCUUCCGAAAGGGGCGAAAGCCGGACGGAGCACCGCCGCGGGAGUGAGGAAGUUCUUCGGAUCUUAAACCUUUUUUAUGGGGGAAAAACAUAUGUGUAAGUAACUGUGCACAUUUGGAGGGUCCCUAAUAAGAAAGCCCCGGCUAACUACGUG
rnacentral:rRNA from 1 species